AGCUUUGUGGGGGUGCUGAUCUUUCUUUAUGAUAUCUUAAUUGUCUCUUUUCAAUGUUAUGACCACAAAGCUUCAAGUCAUCAAAAUUUGAAAAUCAUUAUCUUACAUAACUAGAAAACACAAACACAUGGAUCAGACGAUUACAUAAGCUGAGAAUAAAUUCAAGUUCACAGCAAAUAAAAACAAACACAUUCUUUACCAUUCUUCACCACCAUUCUUCAACAUUUCUGUAGACUUAAGAUCACCAAAAGGCCAACCAGAAUCGUACAUCCAAUGACAAAGCCAGCCAUCAUCUUCUUCAUCUUUGUUUACUCUCAAUUUUGGAC
rnacentral:lncRNA from 1 species